rnacentral:rRNA from 1 species
UGGUUGUCGUCAGCUCGUGUCGUGAGAUGUUGGGUUAGUCCGCAACGAGCGCAACCCCUAUUGUUAGUUGCCAUCAUUCAGUUGGGCACUCUAGCGAGACUGCCGGUAAUAAACCGGAGGAAGGUGGGGAUGACGUCAAAUCAUCAUGCCCCUUAUGACUUGGGCUACACACGUGCUACAAUGGUUGGUACAACGAGUUGCGAGUCGGUGACGGCGAGCUAAUCUCUUAAAGCCAAUCUCAGUUCGGAUUGUAGGCUGCAACUCGCCUACAUGAAGUCGGAAUCGCUAGUAAUCGCGGAUCAGCACGCCGCGGUGAAUACGUUCCCGGGCCUU